rnacentral:rRNA from 1 species
GGUCAAGCUAAUAAGGGCAUAGGGUGGAUGCCUAGGCACCAGUAGCCGACGAAGGACGGGAUAAGCACCGAUAUGCCUCGGGUAGCCGCAAAUAGGCGUUGAACCGGGGAUUUCCGAAUGGGGGAACCCACUUGAGAGAACCUCAAGUAUCCUUUGCUGAACACAUAGGCAAGGGAAGGAACACCAGGAGAACUGAAACAUCUAAGUAUCCUGAGGAAAAGAAAGAAAACUCGAUUCCCUAAGUAGCGGCGAGCGAACGGGGAACAGCCCAAACCGAAUACUUUGUAUUCGGGGUUGCGGACACAACAUAAAGGAUGAAAAUUAAGUAGUCGAAGGAUCUGGAAAGGUCCACCACAGAAGGUGAAAGUCCUGUAGACAAAACUUAAAACAUCCUAGUUGUGCUCCAGAGUACCACGGGACACGAGAAAUCCUGUGGGAAGCAGGGAGGACCACCUCCCAAGGCUAAAUACUAACUGGUGACCGAUAGUGAACAAGUACCGUGAGGGAAAGGUGAAAAGAACCCCGUGAGGGGAGUGAAAUAGAACCUGAAACCCUAUGCCUACAAGCAGUGGGAGCACAUUAAAGUGUGACCGCGUACUUUUUGUAGAACGGGCCAGCGAGUUAUGGUAUACAGCAAGGUUAAAUACCAAAAGGUAUGAAGCCGUAGGGAAACCGAGUCUUAACAGGGCGCCAAGUUGUAUGCCAUAGACCCGAAACCGGGUGACCUACCCAUGGGCAGAGUGAAGUUGAAGUAAAAUUCAAUGGAGGCUCGAACCGGUUAGCGUUUAAAAGCUAUCGGAUGACCUGUGGGUAGGGGUGAAAAGCCAAUCGAACUCGGAUAUAGCUGGUUCUCCUCGAAAUAGCUUUAGGGCUAGCCUCGAGCAAGUGAUUAGGAGGUAGAGCACUGAAUGGUCUAGGGGCACAUAGUGCUACCAAAACCUAUCAAACUCCGAAUGCCGGAAUCACGUUGUUCGGGAGUCAGACUACGUGGGAUAAGCUUCGUAGUCAAAAGGGAAAGAGCCCAGACCACCAGCUAAGGUCCCUAAAUCCAAAUUAAGUGGCAAAGGAUGUGAGGUUGCACAGACAACCAGGAUGUUGGCUUAGAAGCAGCCAUACAUUUAAAGAGUGCGUAAUAGCUCACUGGUCGAGUGACCUUGCGCCGAAGAUUUCCGGGGCUAAAAUUUGGUACCGAAGCUGUGGACUCUAAUAGAGUGGUAGAGGAGCGUUCUGUAUGGGCAGAAGCCAUACCGGAAGGAGUGGUGGACUAUACAGAAGCGAGAAUGCUGGCAUGAGUAGCGAGAGGAGGGUGAGAAUCCCUCCCGUCGAAAGCCUAAGGAUUCCUGAGGAAGGCUCGUCCCCUCAGGGUUAGUCGGGACCUAAGCUGAGGUCGAAAGGCGUAGGCGAUGGACAACAGGUUGAGAUUCCUGUACUACCUAAGGGCGUUUGAGAGAAGGGGAGACGCAGGAGGAUAGGCUGAGCGCACCGUUGGUUGAGUGCGUCUAAGCAUGUAGGGAGUUAAGGUAGGCAAAUCCGCCUUAACAAUCCUGAAAUGCGAAUGGGAGCGAAAAACAAGUAGCGAAGCAGCUGACUCCACACUGCCAAGAAAAGCCUCUAUCGAGCCCAAGGGUACCCGUACCGCAAACCGACACAGGUAGGCGAGGAGAGAAUCCUAAGACGCGCGGAAGAACCUUUGUUAAGGAACUCGGCAAAAUAGCCCCGUAACUUCGGGAGAAGGGGUGCCAUCUGAGGUGAAGCAUAAAGCAGAGCCUUAGAUGGUCGCAGUGAAUAGGCCCAAGCGACUGUUUACCAAAAACACAAGUCUCUGCUAAAUCGAAAGAUGAAGUAUAGGGGCUGACACCUGCCCGGUGCUGGAAGGUUAAGGGGAAGAGUUAGCGAAAGCGAAGCUCAGAACUUAAGCCCCAGUAAACGGCGGCCGUAACUAUAACGGUCCUAAGGUAGCGAAAUUCCUUGUCGGGUAAGUUCCGACCCGCACGAAAGGUGUAACGACUUGGGCGCUGUCUCAACAAAGGAUCCGGUGAAAUUGUAGUACACGUGAAGAUGCGUGUUACCCACGACAGGACGGAAAGACCCCGUGGAGCUUUACUGUAGGCUGACAUUGGACUUUGGAAUUACAUGUACAGGAUAGGUGGGAGGCUGAGAAGCAUGGGCGCCAGUCUGUGCGGAGCCGGCGGUGGGAUACCACCCUUGUAGUUCUGGAGUUCUAACCAGAGGCUGUGAACCAGUCUUGGGACACUGUCAGUUGGGCAGUUUGACUGGGGCGGUCGCCUCCUAAAGAGUAACGGAGGCGCUCAAAGGUUCCCUCAGCACGGUCGGGAAUCGUGCAAAGAGUGUAAAGGCAGAAGGGAGCUUGACUGCGACACCAACAAGUGGAGCAGGGUAGAAAUACGGACUUAGUGAUCCGGUGGUACCGAGUGGAAGGGCCAUCGCUCAACGGAUAAAAGCUACCCCGGGGAUAACAGGCUUAUCUCCCCCAAGAGUCCACAUCGACGGGGAGGUUUGGCACCUCGAUGUCGGCUCGUCUCAUCCUGGGGCUGGAGUAGGUCCCAAGGGUUGGGCUGUUCGCCCAUUAAAGAGGCACGCGAGCUGGGUUCAGAACGUCGUGAGACAGUUCGGUCCCUAUCCGUCGUGGGCGUAGGAAAUUUGAGAGGAUCUGUCCCUAGUACGAGAGGACCGGGAUGGACAGACCGCUGGUGCAUCAGUUGUUUCGCCAGAGGCACAGCUGAGUAGCUAAGUCUGGACGGGAUAAGUGCUGAAGGCAUCUAAGCACGAAGCCCCCCUCAAGAUAAGAUUUCCCACCGAAAGGUUAAGACUCCAAGUAGACUACUUGGUAGAUAGGCCUCAGGUGUAAGAGUAGCAAUACUCUUAGCUAAGAGGUACUAAUAAGUCGAGGGCUUGACCAG